rnacentral:misc_RNA from 1 species
UAUGUUUUGUCUAUAAAGCCAACCAUACCUUGCUAUAUGUUUGUCUAUAGGUCCUCCGUUCUUGCAACUUAUAAAAAGGGUUUUAUACUUUUCCCUUCUUAUCUUCAUUAAUAUACUGAAGUAACGGCCUUUUUUGGGGCUCAGUUAUAUAUAUAUUAGCACAAAGAAACACUGCUGCUCGACUUGUGUAGUCGCCAACUCCGUUAAUUAUUUUGAUUUAACAGCCAAACACCCUUAUCAGUACUUCUUUUUAAUUAGUACUUUAUUUCAGUAUUCUGUCCCUCCUUACAACUUCAACCACACAAAUUGAGAGAGAGAGAGAGAG